GGUAAGAUGACUGAAAUUAGGUGAUAAACUGUAAAUUUAUUUAUGAGAAAAAAUCUCUCUUGCCA
rnacentral:tRNA from 1 species